rnacentral:rRNA from 1 species
AGAGUUUGAUCCUGGCUCAGGACGAACGCUGGCGGCGUGCCUAACACAUGCAAGUCGAACGGAGAAUUUUAUUUCGGUAGAAUUCUUAGUGGCGAACGGGUGAGUAACGCGUAGGCAACCUGCCCUUUAGACGGGGACAACAUUCCGAAAGGAGUGCUAAUACCGGAUGUGAUCAUCUUGCCGCAUGGCAGGAUGAAGAAAGAUGGCCUCUACAAGUAAGCUAUCGCUAAAGGAUGGGCCUGCGUCUGAUUAGCUAGUUGGUAGUGUAACGGACUACCAAGGCGAUGAUCAGUAGCCGGUCUGAGAGGAUGAACGGCCACAUUGGGACUGAGACACGGCCCAAACUCCUACGGGAGGCAGCAGUGGGGAAUCUUCCGCAAUGGACGAAAGUCUGACGGAGCAACGCCGCGUGAGUGAUGAAGGAUUUCGGUCUGUAAAGCUCUGUUGUUUAUGACGAACGUGCAGUGUGUGAACAAUGCAUUGCAAUGACGGUAGUAAACGAGGAAGCCACGGCUAACUACGUGCCAGCAGCCGCGGUAAUACGUAGGUGGCGAGCGUUGUCCGGAAUUAUUGGGCGUAAAGAGCAUGUAGGCGGCUUAAUAAGUCGAGCGUGAAAAUGCGGGGCUCAACCCCGUAUGGCGCUGGAAACUGUUAGGCUUGAGUGCAGGAGAGGAAAGGGGAAUUCCCAGUGUAGCGGUGAAAUGCGUAGAUAUUGGGAGGAACACCAGUGGCGAAGGCGCCUUUCUGGACUGUGUCUGACGCUGAGAUGCGAAAGCCAGGGUAGCGAACGGGAUUAGAUACCCCGGUAGUCCUGGCCGUAAACGAUGGGUACUAGGU